AUUGAACGCUGGCGGCAUGCUUUACACAUGCAAGUCGAACGGUAACAGGCCGCAAGGUGCUGACGAGUGGCGAACGGGUGAGUAAUGCAUCGGAACGUGCCCAGUCGUGGGGGAUAACGCAGCGAAAGCUGUGCUAAUACCGCAUACGAUCUAUGGAUGAAAGCGGGGGACCGUAAGGCCUCGCGCGAUUGGAGAGGCCGAUGUCAGAUUAGGUAGUUGGUGGGUUAAAGGCUAACCAAGCCAACGAUCUGUAGCUGGUCUGAGAGGACGACCAGCCACACUGGGACGUGGACACGGCCCAGACUCCUCCGGGAUGCAGAAGUGGGGAAUUUUGGACAAUGGGCGCAAGCAUGAUCCAGCAAUGCCGCUGGCAGGAAGAAGGCCUUCGGGUUGUAAACUGCUUUUGUACGGAACGAAAAGGUUUGGGUUAAUACCCUGGGCCGAUGACGGUACCGUAAGAAUAAGCACCGGCUAACUACGUGCCAGCCGCCGCCGUAAGAC
rnacentral:rRNA from 1 species